rnacentral:rRNA from 1 species
GUGAGUCGGCUCCUAAGGCGAGGCAGAAAUGCGUAGUCGAUGGGAAACAGGUCAAUAUUCCUGUACCGAUUCUAGAUGCGAUGUGGGGACGGAGAAGGUUAGGUCAGCCGGGUGUUGGACGUCCCGGUUUAAGCGUGUAGGCGUGCCCCUUAGGCAAAUCCGGGAGGCUGAGCUGAGGCGUGAUGACGAGGAACCACGGUUCCGAAGUGAUUGAUACCAAGCUUCCAGGAAAAGCCACUAAGCUUCAGUCUAGAGUUGACCGUACCGCAAACCGACACAGGUGGGCAGGAUGAAAAUUCUAAGGCGCUUGAGAGAACUCAGGAGAAGGAACUCGGCAAAUUAACACCGUAACUUCGGGAGAAGGUGUGCCCCGGUAGCGUGUAGAGACUUGCUCUCGAAGCGCGAUGGGGUUGCAGUGAAAUGGUGGCUGCGACUGUUUAAUAAAAACACAGCACUCUGCAAACACGAAAGUGGACGUAUAGGGUGUGACGCCUGCCCGGUGCCGGAAGGUUAAGUGAUGGGGUGCAAGCUCUUGAUCGAAGCCCCGGUAAACGGCGGCCGUAACAAUAACGGUCCUAAGGUAGCGAAAUUCCUUGUCGGGUAAGUUCCGACCUGCACGAAUGGCGUAACGAUGGCCACACUGUCUCCUCCUGGGACUCAGCGAAGUUGAAAUGUUUGUGAAGAUGCAAUCUACCCGCGGCUAGACGGAAAGACCCCAUGAACCUUUACUGUAGCUUUGCAUUGGACUUUGAACCGGUUUGUGUAGGAUAGGUGGGAGACUGUGAAGCCGGGACGCUAGUUUCGGUGGAGUCAACCUUGAAAUACCACCCUGAUUUGUUUGAGGUUCUAACCUUGGUCCGUGAAUCCGGAUCGGGGACCGUGCAUGGUAGGCAGUUUGACUGGGGCGGUCUCCUCCCAAAAGGUAACGGAGGAGUACGAAGGUACGCUUAGGGCGGUCGGACAUCGCCCACAAAGUGCAAUGGCAAAAGCGUGCUUGACUGCGAGACCCACAAGUCGAGCAGGUACGAAAGUAGGUCAUAGUGAUCCGGUGGUUCUGUAUGGAAGGGCCAUCGCUCAACGGAUAAAAGGUACUCUGGGGAUAACAGGCUAAUUCCUCCCAAGAGUUCAUAUCGACGGGGGAGUUUGGCACCUCGAUGUCGGCUCAUCACAUCCUGGGGCUGUAGUCGGUCCCAAGGGUAUGGCUGUUCGCCAUUUAAAGUGGUACGCGAGCUGGGUUUAAAACGUCGUGAGACAGUUUGGUCCCUAUCUGCCGUGGGCGCUGGAAAUUUGAAGGGGGCUGCUCCUAGUACGAGAGGACCGGAGUGGACGAACCUCUGGUGUACCGGUUAUGACGCCACUCGUAUCGCCGGGUAGCUAAGUUCGGAAGAGAUAAACGCUGAAAGCAUCUAAGCGUGAAACUCGCCUUAAGAUAAGAUUUCCCGGAGUCUUGAACUCCCUGAAGGGUCGUCGAAGACCACGACGUUGAUAGGUCAGGUGUGGAAGCGCAGCAAUGCGUUAAGCUAACUGAUACUAAUUGCCCGUGCGGCUUGAUAC